rnacentral:rRNA from 1 species
AAUGAACGCUGGCGGCGUGGUUAAGACAUGCAAGUCGAACGGUUUUCAUUGAAGGGCAACCGGAUAUGAAAGCAGUGGCGAACGGGUGCGUAACACGUGAACAAUCUACCUCCAAGUGGGGAAUAGCUCGCCGAAAGGCGAAUUAAUACCGCAUGUGGUCGGGGCUCGCAUGAGCCUUGAACUAAAGUCAGGGACCGCAAGGCCUGACGCUCGGAGAGGAGUUCGCGGCCUAUCAGCUAGUUGGCGAGGUAACGG